AAAUUCCAACAAUGGGUAAAUCUCCAACAUGAAUAAUCCAAACAUAUAAUCUAGACCGACAUAAACAAACGCCUAGAUCAGAGCCAUCCUAGACUCUACUAAAUCGAUACCGGAGAUAGCUCCCGAUAUCCACCAAGCAUCAAUCAACUCAUCGGAGCAACUAAUCUUGCACAUUGUCUACCCAUCCAUACAGACAGGUAGGCGGUCCAUCACAGAUCCACUAGGGGUAAGUAUUAUAUCAAUCAUAAUUAACAUAAAC
rnacentral:lncRNA from 1 species